CUAGAAACAAGAACAAGAAGUUUGUGCCUAAUCUUAUGGAGGGGAAAACUGUUCUUCUUUGUCUGAUGGUGCUUGUGUUGCUAGUAAAUUCCACUCACGCUGAGCAUUGCGAAACACACAUUACACCGGACUUUAUGUGCUCGAGUUACCAUUGCCGGAGUAUGUGCAGGGAUGAGUGGGACCAUGUAAAGGAAGCGUACUGCAGCAUCGGCAAGUCCUUUUUUCAACGUCAAUGUGUCUGCGUUGUAUGUGACUAGAGUAGCACUCUAGCAUCAUACCAAAUAAUGAACAAUUAUGCCCAAUAAUAAAAUGUUCUUGUGACA